UUCAGCUGAAGUUAGUUGUAUUUUGUUGCAUUCAAGAGUUUUAUUCAGCUGUAUUCAGUUGUAUUUUGUUGUAUUCAAGUGUUUUAUUCAGAUGAAUUAAGUUGUAUUUUGUUGUAUUCAACUGUAUACAGUUUUACUCAAUUGUAUUAUUCAUAUGUAUUUCUCUUUAUUCAAUUAUAAUCUUUAUUGUGUAUCUUUCAAAUACAGAUUAAUGAGGGAUCGUUUUAGUUCGUUGAGUUAAAUUAGGAGAAUAUCAUGUGAUUUGAUUUCCUUAGUUCGUGGAGUUAAAUUAGGAGAAUAUCAUGUGAUUUGAUUUCCUUAAUUCGUGGAGUUAAAUUAGGAGAAUAUCAUAUGAUUUGAUUUCCUUUCGUUUUUAACCAGUUUAACCUUCUGUAUUUAACGUUAAUGCCGCUUGAAUACAGCUAAAAAUUGCUAAAUACAAGUCAAACUUAGCUGGAAUUCCAGUUUUUACGCCUAUUUUUUUGGUUGUAUUAAUGAAUACAACAACUU
rnacentral:lncRNA from 1 species